UAGCCAGGAUGGUCUCAAUCUCCUGACAUCGUGAUCCACCCACCUCCGCCUCCCAAAGUGCUAGGAUUACAGGCGUGAGCCACUGUGCCCGGCCCCAGUUGGUCUUUUCUGUGUAGCUCCCUUCCCUUGAAUAGAGCAUGGCCUCCCUCUGUCCUUAAGAGUAUCUGACCCCUCCCCUCACAACCUCUCUGAAUAGUCAAUAAUACUUACCUUCUGAUCAGGGCUGUAACAUGGGUGGCCUCCCUGGAAGUUGUUACAACUGGUCCUUAAUAGACACCCUCACUCCUUUGGAUAGCACACAGUCUAAUUCUGGGUAUAACCUGUUUGCUACUCCCUCUCUUCCCCCUGAAAUGAGCUUAAGUUCCUAUUCUUCUUGGUGCAUAAUGGGUGCAGUCCAGGAAGACUUCCUGGAGGCAGUGGCCUUCUUACGCCAGAACCCGUUUAUAACCCAUGUAUAUAGGAGCAGCCUGCGCACAGCUGCCCCUGGUCUAUUCAGGCAGGAGUGCUAUCUAGGGAACUCCUCAAAGGCAAUGACACACGUGUAACCCACCUCCUCUCCCGGUCCCGGAGAAGCUGACCCUUCCUGCAAUGCCCGCCCCAUCAUGUGCCUCCUGCCACGCGGCACGCGCAGCCCUCCUCGGGACGAGCGCUGUGCAGUGCCUCCUUCUGCGCCGCCUUCCAGGCCGAGGUGCUGCACACGGUGCUCGCGGGCCGCCUGCUGCCGCCCGGCGCGGUGGUGGCCGUGGGCGCCUCGUACAGCAAGGACUCCACAGUGGUGGCGCACGUGGUGCGCGCUGGCGCCGCGCCUGGGCAUCUCAUUGCAGCUCGUGGCCUUCGACGAGGGCAUCGGCGGCUACCGGGAAGCGGCGCUGGCGGCCGUGCGGAGCCAGGCGGCGCGCUGGGAGCUGUCGCUCACCGUUGUGGCCUACGAAGACCUCUUCGGGGCUGGACGGUGGUCCCCGUAGUCCGCAGUACAACCAACUCCAGCCGCAGCCGCUCCUGCUGCACCUUCUGUGGGGUGCUGCAGCGCCGGGCGCUGGAGGAAGGGGCGCGCCACGUGGGAGCCACUCACACACUGACGGGUCACAACGCCGACGACAUGGCGGAGACCGUGCUCAUGAACUUCCUGCGGGGCGACGCGGGGCGGCUGGCCCGGGGUGGGGGCCUGGGCUCUCCGGGUGAGGGGGCGCCCUGCCGCGCUGCCGCCCGCUGCAGUUCGCCUCGCAGAAGGAGGUGGUGCUGUACGCGCACUUCGCCGCCUCGACUACUUCUCCGAGGAGUGCGUCUAUGCGCCCGAGGCCUUCGCGUCCACUCCAGGGACACGCUUGAGGGCCUGGAGGCGGCGCGGCCGUCGGCGGUGCUGGACCUCGUGCACUCGGCCGAUCGCCUGGCGCUGGCCCCAGCCGCGCGGCCCCCGCGCCCCGGCGCCUGCUCCCGCUGUGGGGCCCUGGCCAGCCGCGCGCUCUGCCAGGCCUGCGCACUCCUGGACGGCCUGAACCGCGGCCGGCCCCGCCUGGCCAUCGGCAAGGGCCGCCGGGGGCUGGACGAGAAGGCCACGCCGGGGACACCCGGGGAUCCGGCCCGGGUCCCCACCUCCAAGGCCGUCUCCACCCUCUAGCGACUCCGGGCCUCCCGCCGGGAUCCGACGCCCCCGGGUAGGGGCUGCCUGUAAAUGACACUGUGAAUAAACCUGUUACCUUA